UCGGUCAGUUAGUUGAAGUGUAUUAUUAGUUAGAUCGUGCUUUUGUUGGGAAGUGCGCCGUGUCUUUGAAACGGUGAGCAGCAAGCCUCAGUGUUUAGCCGUUGCCGGUACGUUAGAACAAUGAUAUACUGGCAAUACAAGUCGAACUGUUAAGUUGAGGUCAACUUUUGCGUAUUGGAACCUGUGUUGUGAUUUUUGUGCACCCACCGAUAUCUAGGGCAAUAAACAUCACACAGGUCAUCUACGUUACGCUUAACAAACCUUAUCUGAAGUCUGCGCGUUCACUGGUAGGAUUGCUUAUUCAAGUGGAGGAAUAUCUUUAUUGCAAAAGGAAUAGAAUCUUUAGGUUAUUGUUCUUUGUGUUGAUAAUAGCGUUUGACUAACUUAGGCUGUAUGGUUAUUUGGGAAUCCAGUCACAGAUACAAAUGUGUUGCAGAAAAAUUGUAAAUUGAAUAAACGAAAAUACUCUUUCGAUCGUUUGGAGUCAAUUUGGACGACUGUAAUAAUGGGGCAGAUUUUUGACCAUCGCACGAUCUAAGGUAUAAUUGUUUCUCGCUUCAUAAUGGUACAUUCACCAUAUGGCUUAGAACCGUUAGUUCUAUAGCCAUAUGGUGAAGCCAUAUAGUUCUUUUUAAACAAAUAAUGCAAAAAAUGUGGUGUAACAAAAUAAACUUUUGUUAUAACCGAUAUAUCACACAUAGAAUUUGCAUGAAACACAUUUGGACAUCUGUCCAACAUAGGUUUUCUGGUUGAGCUGAAACUAGUUGUAGUACAGCGCGAAAUAGUUUUUUCGGAGAUAAUUUCUCCAGCCGCCACUGAGCCAGAAACAUCUGUUGAUUACUUAGUGCCAUUGCGGCGCUCCUUACUUUCUGUUCUUUACCAUUAACUAGUGAAAAUUAGAAAAAUGACGAAAAUAUAUGGGCAAUAAAUCAACUUAAAUGCUUGUACAUCUGAGAUGCUUUUCUCAUAAUAAGCUUCCUCAGUAUCCUACGUUACCGUUACGCUGAUUAUCCCAACUGAAAAGAAAAACAUCUUGUUUUUUCCAUCAGCAACAAGUCAUCGUUUUAUUAGAUGUUUUCGUUCGCGAAAAACGUCAAGCAAACUGAUAAGAAUAUAAGGUCUUGUUGGAAAAAUCGUUUUAACGCAAUUCUAGGAACUGAGAGAAUAAGCUCCGCUACAACACAGCUGUACCGGGACAGACAGUCACGUGGCAGGAAAGACGAGCAGCAAGGGGCGGUGCUCUACCGAAAGUUCGCUAAUUCAAUUUCCAUCUAAAAUAGAAUUUUGCCUGUUACGCUUCUGCCAGCGCAGAAGCGUCAUAUGUAAACUGAAACAAACUUGUUCGACGCACACUUAUGGUGGCGGCUAAUGUUUACGGUCAGUAAAUUUGAACGCUGAAAACCUUUGCGACAUGGUAAUCACAGCUCCAAUCGCUAGGUAAAACCAUUAUUUCCAUCACGUUCAGUAGUUUUGUACUGAAGCAGAAUGUAAGUGCGUUGAAUAUUAUAGCGCUGAAACGAACAGGUCCAGUGCAGUAUAAAAUAAAUAGUUCAAUCCAGUAGAAGGUCACAUUUGUUAUAUCUAUUAGAGUGCAAUCGCAAAACAAGAUGGAUUAAGUCCGAGGGCAAAAUCCAGUUAGAAAUUAUUUAAUAUUGCGAAUUACCCUAGCAAGUGUACAUGUAUUUUGUUGUUGAUGCGGUAGUGCGGUAUCUCUAUUAGAAGCUAUAAAAGUCAGAGGGGUCCAGUUAGCUUUGAAAAAUAGUAUCCACAUUGUUAUAGUUUCCGCCUUAACUUUUAAACAAAGUAAGACUUCUGCAUGUGCCAGUAUUUGGGUCAUUUAAAACGCGGCCUAGGAUUUGCCGGGAAAAGUUCAUGAAAAAUCUAUGGUAGAUCAAUCAUGAUCUUUGACCUGGGUAAUUUUGCACUAACAGAUUAUGAAGCAUUGACUUUGCUAGCCAAAAUCAUAGCUCUACCUCGGAAAACAAGCAUCCCUCUAGAUUUAUUGAAUGAUUUGUUUUGCAGCACAGAAUUAUUAGUGGCCCAUCUAACUUUAGCUUUAGUCUAUAAAACUUAAGCUGUAUAUAUAAGGCUAUAUGGGCUAAAAACAGAGGUAUCUUUAAACAAAAAAAGUUAUGAAUCGUCGUAAGAUUAUUUUAGGUCACAAGAUAGGGAAAUCUUGGAUAAACAUAGGAUAACAAUUGUUUUGUUGUUAACAAACCCUGUUCGGAAAGGUCGAAUUGACUAGCUUAGGUCUUCUAUAGCUCUAUAAAUUCUCACGUGUUGUGAUAGCGAAAGGCCAUUGAAAUUGCUAAAUGUAUUUAAUCUGCCGGUAACACUUAACACAUAAUUAGGUUUUAUUAUUUAAUGGAUGUAACUAACCUUAUUCAAAUGAGUAGUUUAUCGUCCGGCCGAAACAUUCGUGACGGACUAUUUUGUCAAAGUGGUUCUCUUCCAUCGAAAUGACUUACCAUGUUUUCCAAUGAGAGUCAGUGCUUUCUAAUUAGAGUUGUGAUGACACUGAGUUUAGUCAGUACACAUGUACCCGGCUACAGUAUCCAAUAGGAUCACAUGCCCUUUUGUGCGAAAAUCCGCAUUUUUGCGUGUACUUACUCGGAACUAAGGUGCAAACCCAAAAGACAAUUAUAGGCUUAAACACGCUGACAUUUGAUGACUGCUGUUGUUGCACAUGCUGUCCUUGAAUUAAUACUUAAAAUACGCAACGGAAAAGUAUUUAUCGCUUGCUAUUGAUGUUCCUUUAUUUUUUCAAAAUCAUCUUUUAAAUGUAUAGGAAAGGGAUCGACAAACGCAUUACCUGAAAACAAAAAAAUAGGGCCAAUGGGGAGAAAGACGCCAGCCGGCGAAAUGACCAGCGGAGCUUCUACAGAAGCACCGGUGGAAGCUAAGCACUGGACAAGUAAAUUGAGAAAUACAGACAUAACUUCUGCGUCGUACCAAGCGGAGCCCGGGGUGCCGGCUCCCACAGGUAAAAAACAGGUCCAGAGUAAACGUUCCGCAGACAGGGUAGAGGCCGCAACCGCGAAACGUACCCCUCAAAGAAGCGCUACCAAACCACCUGUCAUCGACCGAGUAAGCAGUGACGAAACUGAGCAGGAUUACGAUGCCGAGUGCUUCUGGGACGGUAAAGGUAAAGCGAUCAAUCGUAAGAAGGCGGCGGCCAAGAAUACGCAGAGAAAUAACAAAGCAAAGAAGGUCGUAGAUGAAGAUAAUGACGGCCAGCCAAAGGACGACAAAGACACGGGCAACGCAAUGGAAGAUGCGAAAAAUGACUUUGAUAACGAGGAGGAGGAAGCAAACGGACAGUUAACGAAGCUGACAAAUCCAAAAGGAGCCGGAAAAGGUCUGUCGUCACUGUGAAGAAGGCCAGCAAGAAAACUGGAAACGUAAAAUCCCAAAUAUCAAAGGAACGCCGGGCAGCCGUGGAUCAGGAGGCGGUUGAGCAUCGUGCGACCCAUUUAAGAACUCUUUUUGAUGACUUACUUGACGAGGAUGUUGUCGACCUUUAGGAAGCACUCUAUGAGGCAGACUGGGAUCUUUCUUCAGCGAAGAAGCUUAUCGCUAGUGGUGCGCUAGUGGCUAAUGCGUCUGGUGAUGAGAAAGAGGACGAAGAAUAAGCUUAAAGACCAGUAUGUGUUCGAGAUGUUGUAAUAUUCCACAACUGGCAAAGAAGGUACUAUAUGAGAUCACGUUUAGCGUAUGUGAUGCACAGCACGCUACUGGAUAUGUCCGUCAUCGGCAACCUGUUCUCAGUUUAUAUCCAAAUCUGAAUAGCGCCACCUUUGGCUAAGUGUCAUUGAACGUGAAUUUGAAUGAGCGGACGAAUUGAACGGAGUACCGUUGACAGAGAGGGCGCCUCCGGGGGCAUCGCUUUACGGCUGGAGCCGCUUAUUUUUCUUGCGCACAUUGACAUCGGAAUCGAACCAAUAUCUUCUGCAGGCUGCUGGAUGUAGUGAAGGAAUAUUCUUCCAUCCUGACGAUUUAGCUUUAUCGGUAUCGGAAUGUCUUUGCACCGACUGUUCGCAGACGUUCGUUUAUCUAGACUAGCAUCGACUGAGAAGAACGCUAAGUUUAACGAAGCUGAGUCACGAACACGGACGAGCACACCGACCAAAAAAAUGACCCUUCAUUCUGCCUUUAACGAAGUUGAAAAAUGAAGCGUCGCGGCACCAUUGAAUAACAGCCACGGGCAUGUCGUACACACGGUAAUGCGUCUUGCAGCUGCGCUAUCGUGAAACGUUUAAGCUAAUUACCAUACAGUUGUCGACGUACACGGCAGAGGUAUCCUAGGCUGCUCCGGAAGCUUAUGGUCUCGGUAAAAGAAACAGAGUGGGUGUCCACUUGUUUACCGCCAACUUUGAAGCGCAAAUUCGACAAAAAAUCCCGUUAAGAACAGCAGCCGGCUUGCCAAGAGGAAAACACUUUCCGAACAGUGUAUACGACUAAAUCAAGAGUGGAGAGG